CGGGCUGGAGGGGUUUGGCCGCGCGGGGCGGCAGCGCAGUGGGCCUUGCGGACGCCAGCGCGGCCGGACGCACGCAGGCGGCGAGACGGAGCCGCUGCCGGGUCCGCACGAGCUGCCGCGCGUUCUCAUUCCCGGAGGCCCGAGACCUGCUCUCCGCAGCGCAGGGGAGCGAGGUAACGCGCUCUGCCCAGGGCCGGAGGCCGGGCCUGGGCUCAGUGUCGCCGGCGUGUCCAAGGCCAGGCGCUUCUCCCCUGGGGCCUCAGUUUCCCCAUCGGUGAGGGGAGGGAUUCGGGCUGCUGUGAAUCCGUGAGGUUGCAGAGGGCGCUCGGCCCCCAAGGGCGGUGACCGCCGCGGCGUCAGGCGGUGCAGUCCGUCCCUCCUGAGCCCCGGGGGUGGCCGCCGGUGAACAAGGUAAGAUGCACUGUCGCUGCCCUCAGGGUCCACCCCUCAGAUUGGCUGAGGGGGCAUCAUUUUUCUUUCCACUCCCGCCUUUUGGAAAAUUCUGGAACAUCGUUUCUCGGGGCUUUUUGCUUUCCCUGAGCCUGCAAAACCAUGCUCCGUUUUCUCCCCGUGAUGCCUCCUCAAUCCUGCCAUCUCAGAGGUGUCCUCCCCGGUCGCUUGCGCACCGCCCUUCGCGUCGCCGUUCCCUUCCUGGCUGUGCUCAAGUACCUGCUGAGGGAAUCAAUGUCGUCUGCGCCGCUGCGCCACCCCCGCGCGUUACAGGUCUGGAAUGAGGUUUCAAGGACCAAGGAAGUGUGGAGAUAGGACUGUAAGGAGCUGGAAAAAAGGAACUGUCGGAUCUUCAACCUCUUGCUAAAUACAGUAUAGCCUGAUUGUCAACUCGGAGCUAUAUUUAAUUUUAAUCACUCAUGAUGGAAAACAGCUGUUCACCUAUGUUCUUCAAAACAUGGAGGAAGUCUUUGUUUUUGCUUUUAGGUUUACUAUGCCUUGGGAUAUUUGAGAAUUCUGGAAUGUUGAUCUUGCCAUAUUUAGUUUUCAGCCUCAUAUAGCAUUGCUCUGGUUGCUUUUUAUUAAUUUUUAUUACUAAUAUUAGUUGGAAAACAGUAUUAAUCUAUUUAGUCAGUUUUGAAGUAAGAGUUUUUAUUGGAAUUAGGUGUUUUCAAUUUGGGGAAUGUAGUCUAGGUAUAACAUUUAGUUCUGGAAAUUGAUGUUUCUCUAGAUAGCUGGACAAGAUUAUGUCUUGCCAAAUGUGUUUUUCAAAGAAAUUGUUUCAUUAGGAAUAAAUAAAUUGGCUCAUGGAUUGUUGUAUCUAUUUGUGGAAGCCCUUGCAGAGGAAUAUUCACAUGUUUAAAUGGGUGGGAUGCUGAUUCCAGUCCUAGUCUUCAUUAUUUUUGUUGGUAAGCCAGUCUAGGACCUUUUUCAUUUGAGUGAAAUGUGUAUUUUUUUAAGUAGUAAAAAAAAAAAUUCUCUUUAGCACAUCAUAUUACCUCCAUGCAGUGUCAUAUGUUUCCAUGCUGUGCUUCCAGGUUCCUUGUGCAAAUUCUUCAGCUGUCUGCAAGCCAAGUCACAAAUGGAUUUCAGUUCAUUAACA